UUUUUCAUCUUGAAAUUCCUAGCACUUUUUGUUGGUUUGAGAAAUUAUUUAUUUAUUUAUUUAUGCGACGAGGGUAUCCAAGUCUGGAAGCGAAGUAUGUCAAAUAUUGUCCUUGAGACUUUGACUUACCAGGCUUUUAAAAUUCUGAGUACUUUUUAUGUGUUUUGGGAAAAAGUAUUUGCUCUCUCUCUGUGUUUUUUUGCUACGAGGGUACCCAAGUCUGACAGGGCAUCUCACCUUACCCCUAAGGCACAUGCAAUGCCCCUUGCGCCACACCAGCCAAAUAUCAGGGAUUCAGGAAGAUCCAUAUUUGGGGUGGCCCAUUGCAGAUGGUGAAGGUGGGGAAAAAAGGCCACACAUGAGAGUAAUAAUUUGAUUAACUUACCCGCUUUAGUCUUUUAUUCCUUAUAAAAGAUCAUGUUUAGGUCUCUGAUUUGAAGAUACAGCAGAUGUUUCUCUACUUAUUUCCUGUCAGACUGGAAUCAGAAAGAACAUUAUUACACAAGAAUGAGGUUUUGGUAGUGGAUCAUUAUUUCAUUUCAUUUCUUAGUCUGUGAUAUUUCAUUGGAAGUUCGGUAUUAAGAACCAUUGACUUAAUAUGUCAUAUUCAGAAGCGUUUUCCUGUAUUUAGAUUUAAUAUCUAUUAAGAGUUGAAGUGUGAACACUCAAAGGUUGGCGAAGGGUGUGAGGAACUGGCUCCGAGGAAAAGGUUGGAGAAGAGUGUUUAUUUGGUCUUGAUCUGGGAGUGUGUUGAUUUUUGUUUCUUCUUAGUAAGGUGAUUCAUUUGAUUUUAUGAUGAUUACUAACAAACAUAGAAGAGAUGUCUAACUAGCUAAACUAUUUAUUUGGAGAAAGAGAAGCAGCUUCAUUUGAGCUUUGGCUUACUGUGGAUUUACUAGAGUGCCUAAAUGAGGUCUGUUUUGAAAAGUACUGUCCAGUUUUAUGCAUACGUAACUCAUUCAUAAUUGAUACUUUGGAUGCUAGAAAGCUAUUACAACUUAUAAUCACGUGUCUUCAUUGUGGCAUUGUUUAUUUUCUAUUUAUUUUCUGGAUUUAUCGAGUUCAGUUCUUUAGUAUCCAUGAUUUCUGUGCCUAAUUUGACACAUUAGUCCUGUAUAUGUCUUGUAUUAUAAGAUUUUAAAGUUGGAACAAUUAUCAAUAUAUGCAUGAAAGUAAUGGUUCUCUGUGAAAUUAGGUAUUGUAAAACAUGCAGUAGCAUAGUUAUCCUUCUGUGCUUUGCAGAAUAUAGUAUUGCAGCAUUCUUUCAAAGAAAGUGCUUUUAUCUCUUGUUCCUCUUGCACAGGAGCUGUCCAUCAUUUAUCUAUUUUUUGUUGCAUUGAGAUCCGUAUCAUCAUUCGUAACAAUAGUUGCUUUGAUUAUUUCAAAUUAUGUUUGUCACGCCUCGGGCCUGCGAGCCCGUUGGCGCAAUGUAAGUCUGGGACUCACGGAGUGCAAUACAUGGUUUGGCUCAAUUCACCGCCAAAAUUGACUAGUUAAUGUUACACUUGGCUCUCAAGACCCAUCAUUUAAACCAUUCAAUCACUCAAAAAUAUCUGAUGUGGGACUAAAUCUUGGGGUAUCACUGUUAUUUUCCCAUGUUGCUAUAAUUUUGUGACAUAGCUCCUCGUAUCCUGGCUGCAGUUCUGAUCUCCAACUUGCAAUAGCACUUCAACAACAGGAGUUUGGACGACAGUCCCAACAACAAAACCAACGUCCACAGCAACAAAGUUCACAGCAAACAGCAGUUAGUGGUCGUUCUAGGCUUGUCACAGGUCCUCAAGUAUCAAGGAGCUCACAUCCCUCCCAAAAGAAUGAAGCAAAGAAAGAGAAAUGCACCUUAAUGUAACAAAACAAACUCUUAUAGCAUUAGAUGGUCCUUUUGUGUCUGGGCCCAAAUUGUAUGAAACAGUGUAUAGUUUUUUUGUAAAUAAAUGAAUCACUUUUACAACCAAUGAACGCAAUACAGCUCAUUGUCA